CCUGGCUGCAAGGCUGCUUGUGUCAUCCUGGAGAGCACUCCUGAACUGUGAGUUGACCAUAGCAGAUACCACCAUUGAGUCCAUCCCCACAGCACCCUUGAAGGAGAUCCCUCACCAACCUUCCUAUCCCAGAAGUCUGGUAUGCCAUCUAGGAACCCAAAAACUGGAUGGCAUACCUGCUGAAAUCUACAAGACUGGCAGUGAGAAAAUGGUACUGAGACUCUAUGAAUUUAUUUUAUGAUUUUGUAACAGUGAAGUGAUCCUGGGGGACCUGAGGAGUGCCAACAUUGUGACUAUCUUCAAGAAAGGAGGUCCAAGAAAAGUGUCAGGAACAACAUCAGGACCUGUAUAUGGCCUUCAUUCACCUCACUAAGGCCUUUGACUCCAUCAAUGGUGAAGGCUUUUGGAAAGUACUGGCCAAAACUUGGAUGUCCUGAAAAGUACAUUAAAGCCCUGAGGCUUCUUCAUGACUAGACUGUGACCAUCUUAUGUAUUGGAUUAGAGACAAAUCUGUUUGUCAUCCAAACUGAGGUCAAGAAAGGAUGCGUUAUCACCCCAACUCUAUUCUCCCUUUUUGGAUUACUCAUCUUGAUUCUCAUUAAGGACCACCUUCCUUUCAGAAUUGAUUUUCAAUAUUGAAUGGAUGGGAGGGUUGAACUCAUAAGUCCUCUUGGGAUCUAUCAAUGAGCUGUAGUAGAGAUCAUCCUUGAAUCGAGGGAUUACUGAUGACAACCCUUUGUGACUGAAAUGUUUUUGACAAUUUUUUGUUUGCUUUGCUUUGUUUAAAUUGUGAUUAAUAAUUCAGAUAAGGUGGGUAGAAGGGCUCUACAAAGCUUCGGGUGCUGAUCCAAUUCAGAGGAGUUUUGGCCUGUUUUGGUGGCCAAAUCUCUGAAUUUGAAUUGA